UGAACAAUGUGAGCUCAACUCAUGCCCUCCCUCCAGGGCAGCUGGGAUAAGGCCCAGUUCCUUUUUCCUCUUUCAAGAAGGACGGCCCAUUCGCAAUCAUAGUGAAAGUGAAACAGGAAGGCCAUCAUGGAGUGCUAGAGGGACAAGCACGUCUAAAUCCAUCCAUCAGCUGUUUACCGAGGAAGUCAGACAUCUCUGCAGCUUCUUAGGCCAUGGCCGAGGACACGAAGAUACAGAUAUCCAGGAACAGAGUCAUACACGAUGGCACGGACACAGACCCGGGGCCCAGAGGUGAAUAAGACACCCUCAAUUGCAUGACAUCAGAGAUGGCAAAACUGAGGCCCAGAGAUGAGAGCUCACCCACCCACUCCCAGAAAGCAGCAGAGCAAAGACUGGAACCCAAAUAUGCCUUUUUGUUGUGCUGCUGGCUGGACUGCAGAGCAAAAAGAGGGAUUUUCUCUUUCUAUCCACCCAGCAGCCCUUGUUGGAGGUGCAGGGAUGGAUUCCAGGGCAGAGCGAGGGGGCGGGGAGUGUCAUCUGUGUGGUGCCAUAACAUUCCUAUGAAAUAAAAAAACCAUCUUUGCUACCUUCCAUCAACCUCAGAGGAGUAUUUUGACAACACAUGUAGAUUUAUGAUCAAUGGAAAUUAUAAAACUAAAAAGAAGUGAGUGACCCAUUUUAUUAUCCAGAAUAGGGAACGUGGGAUAGGUCCCCCUGGGCUGGCCUGAUUUCAGAGCUCAUUAAAGAAAAAUGAGGCAAGAACUGGGAAAAGUCUUUGCAUUUUUUUUAAAAAGGCCAGUGACCCUAC